UAGGAAGUGGUGUAGUUGGAGGCACCAAGAGUUUUGAUCUCUUAAGGAGGGGUUCGAGCCCCCUCUUUCUAA
rnacentral:tRNA from 2 species